rnacentral:lncRNA from 1 species
UUAGCACUCUUGCUCCUUCGGAUUCAGCAUGCUGCUCCACUCUGACUUCAGCUCGUCGUCUCUCCGCAAUUCUAAUUAUUCACUUCUGAGGUAUUAUUUCAUCCUACUCAAUUUGUAAUUGUUGUUGAUUCCUGUUGUUUUUCGUGAUUCAUUAAUCCAUUGCUCAUCCUUGUUUUGAUUUAGCUUGAAGAAGACAGAUUUUGCUUUUUGUUUGGAAUUUAUAUUCAGUGGAUGGUUGAAUGGCUUCCUACUUUGGUAUCUGAUGUUUGUUGUUUCAGGUUUUUGCAUUUUAAAUUGUGCAAAAAACUUCAUGUUAAAAAUUGAAUCAUUUUGCCAUUCCGUAUAUUAUUUUUCGGUUUUCUCCUUAAUUGAUUUUCUGCCAUUUAACGAUUUAUCAAAGACUAGGAUGCGUAACGUAGUUAACCAAAUACUCAUUAGUGUGGUUGUGAAUAUUGAAAUUGUGAGCAUUGAUGGGUUAAGAUUAUCUGGUAAUAGUAAGAGAUUAUCUUGAACAUACUUAUGUCAGAUAAGCCAUCAUUUAUUCUUUUGUUUUGUGGUUUAAGUUGGCCUUAGAGGUGUUAUAUCGAUUGACUAAGACUCGAAAACCUUUUGAUUUUAUGCAGAUUUAACUAUAAUUAUUGGAGCAGGUUUGGGACUUGGAGAUUUGAUAAUUUAUAAUUGUUUUUUGCUUAUUAAUGUUUCAUAUCCAACUGGCACUAGAAACCCAGUAACACCAUAUCUGAAUAUGCAGAGAAAGUUGCCAAGAAUGUUCUUGGAGAGUUACUUUAUUGCUACUUUAACUUAGUUAUGAAUGAAGAGACAUGUUUCAUAUGGCCCAAUGAAGAUUUUGUGUUCGUAUAUUUAGGCUUCACCUCUUCAGAUACGCUUUCUUAUUAGGGCGUGUUUGGUGUCUUCCUACGGAUUAAGGCAUAUAGAUUAGCAAUGGAUACCUUUUAUCGAUUAAGCUAGAUUAAAAAUUCAUAAUGGUGUUUGAUACCAUUUACUAAAAUGUUUAUAUCUUGUUCGGUACUCAGUACAAAGGCAUAGAUAAAGGAGUUAAAAGACAUAACUCUCCCUCCACUAAACCCAUAAAGACAAGCGUACCCUUUGAUUUUCACCCCACGCUACAUAUUCCCUAUUCCUUCAUAUUUUGCAGCUUUCACUUCUUGCGCCAUAGGAAGGGUCACAGAAGCUGAAACGACACGCCUGGAAGUGGACGAUUUGCGCCGAUCUGCGCCGCGACAAGAAUGAGUUCAGCAACUCAAGGUUAAAAAGCUUUGAACAUCUUUGAUAUUAUUUCCAGAAUCCCUAUGUGUUAUAUGUGUUAGUUCGACUAUUACUCGCUACAUUUGUGUCUGAAUCAUAUGAUAUAUGUUAUGCUCAUGUAAAUGCAAUGCUUCAAAGAUGUGAAGAUCUAUACUUUUUUUGUGUUUCAUUGCAAAGCUUUGUUGUUAGGGGACAGGUGUCGCAUAUGCUUCGACAUAUGCUAGUAGUUUUUUGAGAUGGGACUACUGUUCCAUUGCUUAUUUAAUUUCGACAUAUGCUGGUAGUUUUUUGAGAUGGGACUAUUGUUCCAUUGCUUAUUAAAUUUUUGUGUUGGUGCUACUGUUCCAUUGCUUAUUAUUUUUUGUGUUGCUUUCUAUGGCGUUGAGCAACAGGAAGCAAUGGAUUCGUUCGUGGUGGUCGGUUAAACAAGACCGACAAGACCCGGCGUAGUUGGUCGGCUCGAGAGGAGGAGAUUUUGUUGGCUGCAUUGAAGGAGUUGGUGGCGCAAGGCUGGAAAUCGGAUAAUGGUUUUCGCGCCGGAUAUUUGAAUAAGUUGGAAGAAGCGAUGAAGAAGGAAUACCCAGAAAUUAAUACACUACUUAAUUUGGUGGUGGGUGGAAGUUAGUAUUCAUAUCCAUAAGUAUUCCAACAGAAAUUGUCUGCAAUCACAAGUAACAACACCAAAAAAGGUAUUUGACCGAUUUGAUGCAUUAAUGUCAUUCAAUUUUUUUGGGAAAAAAAAUGUAUGUAUAAAACCGAGACUAAAACAUAUCCAUAAUUAUAAAAAAUCGAAAUACAAAGUGCAACAAAAUCACAAUUCAAACACACAAUAUAUAUAUAUAUAUAUAUAUAGAAGAUCAAUCUAUAAUUAUAAAUAAGACAAUUUUUAUAAUAAUAAUUAUUCAUUUUUUACUCUCGUCUCUUUAUCUUUUUUUUAUAUCUCUCUUCUCUUCUUUUUUUUUUAUAUUGAAUCUUUUUUUUUUGGUCAAGGAAAAUGUCAUGUGAAUGUGUUGUUUUAGCUUGCAACCCCUGCUGCUUUGGUUGGUCAUUUUCUCAAGUCACUUGCAGCAUGAGAGGCCUUACUAAUGAACUACGUGCAGAAACUAUGAUGAUGGAUGCACUGAACAAUGUUGAGAAGGAAUUGAAGAAACCUCUCUUGAGAAACGAUAAAAAAGGGAUGGACCUGCUGAAUAAAUCUCUGUUGGAACAUUAUACCUGCAAACAAGAAUUAAAAAAAGGCAUGCAUUCGUAUAUACCCGCAAAGCUACAAACCAAGAAAAAACAGUAGCACUUGAACAAAUAACCACAAGCACAAUUCAAAUAUCCCAAACACAGAAGCAUUUGAAGAAAGGUAGUCAAAAACAUAGUCGAUUCAACGAUGCCUAAGUUAUGAAGCCAUGAACCAUCCCCUUACAUAAAUUUGCCUAUUACAAUCCCGACUACAAGUGUCACAAUGGAAAAAAACAGGUUUGUGGUAUGGAGCUCGAGAUAUCCACGUGGAGAAUGCAAGCAAACGCCCCGGUGGUCAAUUUCUUGAACCGCAUCAAAGACAUUUGGUGCCAUGGAUUGGGAAUGAGCUCGUGGUUGAUUGUUUCGAAUGGGAGAAUCCACGGAAGACGCUGACCUCAUUGAACACACAACGUGAUACUCAUCGUACCAAUAGAAUCCCUUGGGGUGAUUUCCUUCUAAUGGACACUUGUAGUAAUAUCGACCUGGAAAAUUUGCUCCAGGACCAGCACACUUUAGAUUCAUUGCUCCGUGACCGCAGCUACAAAACGGGGUGGUAUUUGAAACAUCGGACAUGGCCUCCAUUCUGAGAAUAAACCACAACAAGGUAAGAAAUAUAUAUCAAUUUCACAGAAAAAACACAACAGCAACAGCAGCAUUUGAAGUGAAUUUAAUGGCAGAAUUUGCACAAUAAACAUAAUCAAUUAUACACAAAAAUCAACACAUAUAGACAAAAAUUUUACUUAACUAUGAACUCGUUUGUAGGCAGACAUUAUUUAGGCAUAAUUAAUAUACUGCUGCCACAUUCCUUCCGCCAAAGUGUCUCUAGCUGCAUUCCAUUGGGGAGAAGAUUCAACAUUUUCAACAAAGUUAUGAGAUUCUACAUCCACAUCACCAUCUUCAACCAUCGCAUUGUAUUGUUCUUCAAUUGGGUCAACAACCAUUUGUUUGCGGAUGAAGUUGUUAAUUAAAAACGUUGCCAUUAUUAGCCUAUUUUGAACCUUUAUCGGAUAAAAUGUUGUAGAUCUUAGUAUCCCCCAUCUCAUCUUCAUUAUCCCGAAAGCCCUCUCAACCACAUUACGUGCCUUAGCAUGUCUUAGGUUAAAAAGUUCCUCCUUGUUUUGAGGUCGGGCAGAAUUAGGACCCCACUCUUUAAGGUGGUAUCGAACACCUUUAAAAGGUGUUAAAAAACCCUCACUAUUUGCGUAACCAUUGUCACACAAAUAGUAUUUUCCUGCCGAGGUCACAACAAACAAACAAGAAUAGUUAUAUUCCAGCAAUUAUUAUCAAACACCAAUGACAGCUAGAAUCAAUAAUAAAGUACGCGAGUUAUUGGCUAUACCCUUGGGAACUUUUAAUCCGUGUGGUCUGUUCAAUGCGUCCCGCAGUAUUCUAGAAUCAUUGGCCGAGCCUUCCCACCCGGAAAGAACAUAAACAAAGUUCAAGUUCCGAUCACAAACGCCUAAGACGUUCGUAGAGAUCUGCCCCUUCCUUGUCCUAUAUCGAGGUUUAUCAAUAUUGCUAACUGUUACGUUGAUGUAGGUGCCGUCUAAUGCUCCUAGACACCCCUAUUCAUGAAAUACAGUUACAACAAAGUUAUAUUAUUAUUUAUUAACACUUCAACAUAAUUUAACAUGACAUGACUAUAGUUGGAUUUAGUUACCUUGAACCAUUGCCAUCUCGUGUCCGUGCAUUCAUCUGUGACAGCCUCGGGCUUAACCAGGAACACAUCAUGUAAGCUAAUAAUUGCUCCUAAUACCGCGUGGAUAUAAUGCGAUACCGUUUGCCCAGACCUCCAAAAAUUAAAUUUAACUACCCUAUUUUUUUUGUGAUGGGCCAACACAGACAAAAAUAUGGCAACCUGUUCCUCUACUUUAACAUAAUUCCCAUCAACUAAACCCCCUCUUUCCCGCAAGAUUCGACAAAGUCUCCCAAAGGUACUACGGUCCAUACGUAAGUUAGCAAUACAAUCAAUAUCCGUAGCAUCUAUCAUUCGACCUAGAUGUUUUAUUUGGUCAGGCAUCCUACAAAUCAUGCUAUAUUUAGGUACUGCUGUCUGACGUUUUCUCUUCCUUGAAUAAGUCUUAGCUAUAUAUGCAAUGACAAUAGCAAUUUGUAUAAUAUGAUCACGCAAAAUUUCUUGUAGUACCAAGAAUAAUAUGUCUUUAUCACGAGGACAUACUCUUCCAGCCAUCUAAAACAGAAAGUAGGGAUGUAUAAGUCAAAACUGAAUUUUUCAACAUAUACUUAUGCCUAUUGUAUCUACUGUUCCAUUAAUUAGGCAAGUACAAAUUUUAUUUUGCAACCUCACAAAUAUGUAAAGCAGCAACAUGCCAUACAAUAACAACAAAUAUGCCAACUAAGUAAUGGUAAAUCUAGCAAAUUUUCUGAUACAGUACAACAACAGCAACUGUAACACAAUCUCCAUCACAUUAAAAAAAUUUAAGAUCAAUCAGUUUAUCAAUAAGAUCAAGGACCUAAGAACAAACUUUUAGUUGCCUUCAAUUGUUGCAGUAUAAUGCUCACCCAAGCUUACUGUCUUUGCCUAGCUGGAAUGUACUCCACAGCGACGUCGUCUACGAAACAGAAAACGGAGGAGGUUAACCCAAUAUCUGGACCAAAAAUCAAACCAAUAUCUAGUUGCACAAAUGCCCAAUAUCUAGAUGCACAAAUGCCCAAUAUUUGGCCCUAAUUUCAGAAUCUCGCGCGAAAGUCGAAACAGAUGGAGCUGCUAAUUUUUUUUGAAAUCAAAGCAGUAAAAUAAACUCCCAAUUUGCGAAUCGAAACAUGUAAAUAUGGGGGAACCCUAUCUCUCAAAUCCAAAAGGAAAUCACAAAAAAUAGGAAAGAAAGAAUAUGAAUCGGUGAAUCCAAACCCAUUUUUAAAGUUUGGGUUCUUACCGUUCUGCGUCAAUUCUUCGAUCUGCUUUUCGAUUGUCGCGAGCUCUGCAGAAUAGCAAAGAUGAAGAAAUACGCGCGGCUGAUUUUUUGACCUAGAAACGAGUUUUGAAUAAAAAAUUUGAAGGGUAAUUAAGGCAACGUAAAUGUUUUCCUGAAGUCUGGAAGUGGUAUCGGAGGGGGGAGUCGCGAGACGUUUUAAGGGGUGAACAUCACUUUUUCACCGGGCCAUGCCUUUUUUGCGGGCUACUCGGAAAAAGUUUAAUUGGCACCAAACAAUUGUAAAGUGCCGGAUACCUUUGCUAAUCUGCACUAUGAGGUGGCACCAAACACGCCCUUAGCGUCCUAUAUACUAUAUGUUCUUCGCUUUUCCUAUACUCUUCUGUUGCAGUGUGCUAGACAAGGGUUUGCACUUGGUCUUACAAUGUUAGUUGGCAUGAUUCAUAGCAUUAAAUUAGAGUCCUUGUUAAAGCUAAUUACAACUUUGCUGGAGGUCUCUUCUUCCAUGAAGGGGGUCAGGUGAGUAUUGGUCCCUUCUCAUGAAGUCAAUAAUUGAGAUUUAUAUUUUAUUUAUGUGGAGCCUUUUAUUUAUAGGAGGUAAAAUAAUGCUUACUGGGCCGUUUAUUUGCAUAUGGAGCUCUUGCAAGAUCGGGAAUGUACUGAAGAAUGGAUCUCAGAUAAUAGUAGUGCACUCAUCAAAGAAUUUAACAAAUGUCUUAUUGAUCUUGCAGCUAAGAAACAGUACUUACAAGAGCCUGCUGUUGCUGUUUUAUUGGAGAUAGUGGGAAAGGUAAUCCGUCGUAUUACUUACAGCACACAGUUAAUGUUAUCAAGAUGAACUACAUGAUUUGAGCUGUUUGAUCGUCUGCGUAAAAUUGGUGUGAUUGGGAGUUGCUUAUCCCGGAAAAAACCGGUAUCAAACCAAUUGGCUUUGCUUGUUAGAAAAUGAAUGGAUUAUUCAUCUUGUCGAAGGUGUUCAAUGAGUUGCAUCUUUUGGAUCUGAAGAGAAGGGCACCCUUUAGUUGACUUGGUUUUAUGUGACUUUGAUUUUCUGGUGGUUUGUUAAUGAUUCACAGCUGAAAUAGCUUAAUAAUUUUUUUUCUGUGACAGAUAAGCUCAAUUGCAACACAAGAGUAGCUCUAUACAAAUCAUGUUUUUCCGCAAGAGCAAUUCCUCUCAUGAUGGUGAGAGUGUCGAGCAGCAGCAUGAGCGCAAGGUAAUAAUAAUAAGUUGUUGCCUUUUCAAAUUCAAAUAAUGCUUGUGAAUCUAGUGAAUAUAAUUUUCUGUUGAAGUAAGUAAAGGUAGCUUUGGUUAUUAUAUGCAGUUUGAAGUCUCCUGCUAGCUAGCUCUAUUUCUUUUAUUUUUUUUAAUCAUUUGUUAUUUUGUAAUUUGAGAACAUAGUAGCAGUGAAUAUGCGGUAUAUUUUACACCAUAAUUGAGUAUGAAAACCCAUCGCAAAAUGGAUUGCUCAUUCCUGCUUAUGCACUGAUGAAAUGCUUGAAGAUUAUCUGACUGAUUUUUCUUUUAUUUUAUCAUCAUCCUGUGGAGUGGAAUAUUUUUAGCAUACAGUUAACUUGAUAUGCAUUGGAUAUGCAUUCUGGUGAUCAUGAGGAUUAAGCCAAAGACUUUCAGGUUUCUUUUUUUUUUUUUUUUUUUCCCUUUUUUAAGUUAUCCUUAAGAUUUAUUCUUCUGUAAUUACUCUAUUAGUCUAUUAGAUCAUGCUGGGACAUAACUCGCAUAUUCUUCACAAAUUUACAUGUAACCAGUUUAUGUAUUAGUUAUAAGCUUUCCUGUGUAUCAUAUCUCCGUAUGAUUGUUCAAUUAUUGGUUUCCUACCUUGACUAGAUAUUGCCCUAUAUUUUUGUCAUGGUUUAGUUGCCUGAAGGUACUACUCGUAUUUGUUCUCUUAUUAUUUUUUUUUUUAUCACUGAUUAAGUGAUAUUAUUUCAAGUCUUUGCUGAUCUGCAUGUCUUGAAUAUUGCAGGAGUCUACCUUCUGUCAGCCACGAGUACAUAGUGUAUGACCUGUUUUGGUUAGCCAUGCAAGAUGUUGAUUCAGCAUCAAGUCUAAUUUCGAGCAAGAAGCACAAAAGAAGCCGUAAGAGUACCCAUUCAAGUCAAAGUAUCACGAGGUAGCUCAGCUUUACAAGG